rnacentral:rRNA from 1 species
GAUGAACGCUAGCGGGAGGCUUAACACAUGCAAGUCGAGGGGUAUAGUAGCAAUACUAGAGACCGGCGCACGGGUGAGUAACGCGUAUGCAACCUGCCCUUUACAGGAGGAUAGCCCGCUGAAAGGCGGAUUAAUACUGCAUAAUAUGGUACAAUCGCAUGGUUGAACCAUAAAAGCUGAGGCGGUAAAGGAUGGGCAUGCGUGACAUUAGCUAGUUGGCGGGGUAACGGCCCACCAAGGCUACGAUGUCUAGGGGUUCUGAGAGGAAGGUCCCCCACACUGGUACUGAGACACGGACCAGACUCCUACGGGAGGCAGCAGUGAGGAAUAUUGGUCAAUGGGCGCGAGCCUGAACCAGCCAUCCCGCGUGCAGGAAGACGGCCCUAUGGGUUGUAAACUGCUUUUGUGCAGGAAGAACGUACAGAUCGUGAUUUGUAGUGACGGUACUGCAUGAAUAAGCACCGGCUAACUCCGUGCCAGCCGCCGCCGUAAAAC